AACCCAUAUUGAGGAUAUUUCCACAGGAGCUCCUUAAACCUCUCCCAUCUCUCAAAUAGAGACUCCAAUUCCGUUUAUACAAAGGCGGAUAUUUCAUUUCUAAGCUU